AUUGAACGCUGGCGGCAGGCCUAACACAUGCAAGUCGAGCGGGGUUUUCGGACCUAGCGGCGGACGGGUGAGUAAUGCGUAGGAAGCUACCCGAUAGAGGGGGAUACCAGUUGGAAACGACUGUUAAUACCGCAUAAUGUCUACGGACCAAAGUGUGGGACCUUCGGGCCACAUGCUAUCGGAUGCGCCUACGUGGGAUUAGCUAGUUGGUGAGGUAAUGGCUCACCAAGGCGACGAUCCCUAGCUGGUUUGAGAGGAUGAUCAGCCACACUGGAACUGAGACACGGUCCAGACCCCUACGGGGGGAAGCAGUGGGGAAUAUUGGACAAUGGGCGAAAGCCUGAUCCAGCCAUGCCGCGUGUGUGAAGAAGGCCUUCGGGUUGUAAAGCACUUUCAGUAGGGAGGAAGAGUUGAGUGUUAAUAGUACUCAGCUUUGACGUUACCUACAGAAGAAGCACCGGCUAACUCUGUGCCAGCCGCCGCGGUAAAAC
rnacentral:rRNA from 1 species